AUUCAGAGCAGUGGUCAGUAAUUGUAUAUUUUUAGGCUGUUUAAGCGUUCAGUCGGUCCGUUAUGGUCUGCCACGCUUUCUCUCGCUGUUUCAUUCCAGCUUUAUUAAAAUAAUGUGUUUUAAGUUAUCAUACUUCCACAAGAAGCAACUGCUCACUCUGUAUAAAGUAUGAGCAAUGCAUAUUUUCUCCAUUUUGUGCAUCAG